rnacentral:rRNA from 1 species
GCCAUAUCAUGCUGAAUAUACCGGUCUCGUUCGAACAUCGAAGUCCAACAUCAUCGGGCGCUGUCAGUACUUGGGAGGAUGACCACCUGGGAACACCACUUG